UUGGCGACGGGUGAGUAACACGUGAGCAACCUGCCUUCGAGAGGGGAAUAACGGCUGGAAACGGUCGCUAAUACCGCAUAACAUACCGGGAGGACAUCCUGCUGGUAUCAAAGAUUUUAUCGCUCGAAGAUGGGCUCGCGUCCGAUUAGGUAGUUGGUGAGGUAACGGCUCACCAAGCCGACGAUCGGUAGCCGGACUGAGAGGUUGAACGGCCACAUUGGGACUGAGACACGGCCCAGACUCCUACGGGAGGCAGCAG
rnacentral:rRNA from 1 species